rnacentral:rRNA from 1 species
AACGAACGCUGGCGGCAUGCCUAACACAUGCAAGUCGAACGAGACCUUCGGGUCUAGUGGCGCACGGCUGCGUAACGCGUGGGAACCUGCCCUUAGGUUCGGAAUAACUCCCCGAAAGGGGUGCUAAUACCGGUUAAUCUCUUCGGGCCAAAGAGUUCUCGCCUUUGGAUGGGCCCUCGUUGGUUUAGCUAGUUGGUAGGGUAAAAGCCUACCAAGGCGACGAUGCAUGGCUGGUCUGUGAGGAUGACCAGCCGCAAUGGGAAUGCGACACGGCCCAGACUGCGACGGGGGGGAGGAGUAGGGUACACUAGGGGAUGGGGCAAAACCUGGUACAGCCAUGUCCGGGGAGUGGGGCAGGGCUUUGGGUUGCAAAGCCGUUUUACCCGGGAUGAUAAUGACAGUACCGGGAGAAUAAGCUCCGGCUAACUCCGUG